AUUGAAUUUGACCAAUCAAAGCUAGGGUUACUUUUAUAUUGGUUUUCUUUCUCCUGAUUGAAUAAUUUCAAUCUUACUCUCAACCUUAGGUCUAUAUAAGAGAUUUAUUUGUAUUGAAACCCUUGAAGUCUCCAAAAACUUUUCAAAAUGAGGUAAGUAGAUAUUUAGGAGAUGAAGAAAAAGAAAGAGAAAAUAAUGGUGAAUGCAAAAGGUGCAAGCAACGCGAAUAAAUCUCUUAUAAUGAAUUUGAUUGAACGUAUAAUAAAGGCUUGUUCUUUUUGGCUGAAUUUUUGCACCAGUUUUAUCUUUUUUCCUCUUCCGUCCUCCUGAAGAGAAAAGGAAGAAAGAUGAAAAAAUUCAGUCGAAAAGAACAGGCCUUAAUACUGGUGUAUAUUAAAGCCGUUGUACACUGAUUUAAUCUGAAUGAAAUGUAAGUAUUUCUCUCGAAUUAUAAAAUAUAUAAUUUACUUGACAACAUACUAAAAUAUAUCGAGGACUUCACGGUUUAACCCGUUUCUAUAUUCAUAUAAAACACACAUCUUUACAUUAAUUUGUACGAUGGCUUUAAUAUGUACCAGUGCGCACUGAAUGCAUUUAAUUGAAUUCGCUAUCACUCUCUAGUUUGAUAAACUUUAGGGUCAUCUUUCAAGGCGCCACGAAUGAAGCUCUUAUCGAGCAGAGAAGCGAUAUCUGGUUGACAUUAUAAGUGAACUGUCCACGUCCAGGAAUCAAAAGUAGGCGGCGUCGAGAACACCACUGCCCUUCAACAAUUUAAUAGCGUCGACAGGUGGUAUCGCGCAAAUCGUCAAGCGUAAUGAUGUUCCUGCGGUGACCACCGGAUUGGAAUGAACCUUGAACUUGCCUCCAAGGCAAUUCCUUUCAAUCACCUUCGGUUAAUUAAAAACAAGUUUACCUCAAACUCAUUUUUCCCCUUAGAUUAGUCCCUUUGUCUCUAACUUGUAUGUAUUUAUUUCGAACUUUCUAUCAAAAUAUCAAUGCUUAGUUCCGAGACUCAAUGGAUCGGACGAUGUGAAUGAAUCGAAAAAGUGUUUACACAAUCGAAUAUUGUAUAAUCACGAUAUUCUUCUCUCUCUCUCUCUCUCUCUCUCUCUCUCUCUCUCUCUCCCCCUCUCGAACGAUAUAGAUCUGAAGCGGCAGAUCUAAUAUGAACGCACUGCGUGACACGCGUCAAGACUGGAGCUUCGUUUCUUACGAAACAGCCACGGGACUGUUCGAGGAAGCGAUGUGUCGCGCGUCGCCUGGAGUUCGUCGAACCUGGAUCUAUCUAUCGUCCGGACCUCGUCCGGCAAAUGUCCCUGCUUAUUGGUACAACAGAACAAGAGAGACUCGUUCGCGUACGUACGCAGUCGCGCGACAGCGUAAAGUCGACUGCACAAUCGCGUGCGGUCGCAUUACCGCUUAUGUACGUGCGAAGUCUGUAUACGACGCAAGACGGCAAGACCGCGGCCCCACCGCGUUCUAGGCAAAACUAAGGUCCCUCAGGAUAUCACCGCUCGACGGCGGGGCAUACGCGGUGUACGCCUAGGUAACCGCGGAGGCAGGUGACGGUGGACAGGUGAACGUGUUGGCGGAACACAGGAAGUGCUGGAGACAGAGAGGCGAUACAAAAGCCCUUCGGUAGAGAGAGGGGGAAACGACGACACCACCGGAGGAAUAAAAGAGGGAGUGAGAACUCGCCAAGUGCCUAGAAACAGAAUUGUGGAGAACUCUGCGUAGUUAGCCGCGGAGGAACAUUU
rnacentral:lncRNA from 1 species